rnacentral:rRNA from 1 species
AGAGUUUGAUCCUGGCUCAGGAUGAACGCUGGCGGCGUGCUUAACACAUGCAAGUCGAACGAUCCUUCGGGAUAGUGGCGGACGGGUGAGUAACGCGUGGGAGUCUGCCCUCAGGAGGGGGAUAACGGCUGGAAACGGCCGCUAAUACCCCAUAUGCCGAGAGGUGAAAUGAAUUUCGCCUGAGGAUGAGCCCGCGUCUGAUUAGCUAGUUGGUGGGGUAAAGGCCUGCCAAGGCAACGAUCAGUAGCUGGUCUGAGAGGAUGAUCAGCCACACUGGGACUGAGACACGGCCCAGACUCCUACGGGAGGCAGCAGUGGGGAAUUUUCCGCAAUGGGCGAAAGCCUGACGGAGCAACGCCGCGUGAGGGAUGAAGGCCUCUGGGCUGUAAACCUCUUUUCUCAAGGAAGAAGACCUGACGGUACUUGAGGAAUAAGCCACGGCUAAUUCCGUGCCAGCAGCCGCGGUAAUACGGGAGUGGCAAGCGUUAUCCGGAAUUAUUGGGCGUAAAGCGUCCGCAGGCGGCCUUGUAAGUCUGUUGUUAAAGCGUGGAGCUCAACUCCAUUUAAGCAAUGGAAACUACAAGGCUGGAGUGUGGUAGGGGCAGAGGGAAUUCCCGGUGUAGCGGUGAAAUGCGUAGAUAUCGGGAAGAACACCAGUGGCGAAGGCGCUCUGCUGGGCCAUAACUGACGCUCAUGGACGAAAGCCAGGGGAGCGAAAGGGAUUAGAUACCCCUGUAGUCCUGGCCGUAAACGAUGAACACUAGGUGUCGGGGGAAUCGACCCCCUCGGUGUCGUAGCCAACGCGUUAAGUGUUCCGCCUGGGGAGUACGCACGCAAGUGUGAAACUCAAAGGAAUUGACGGGGGCCCGCACAAGCGGUGGAGUAUGUGGUUUAAUUCGAUGCAACGCGAAGAACCUUACCAGGGUUUGACAUCCUGCGAACCCCUGAGAAAUCGGGGGGUGCCUUCGGGAGCGCAGAGACAGGUGGUGCAUGGCUGUCGUCAGCUCGUGUCGUGAGAUGUUGGGUUAAGUCCCGCAACGAGCGCAACCCACGUCUUUAGUUGCCAGCAUUCAGUUGGGCACUCUAGAGAGACCGCCGGUGAUAAACCGGAGGAAGGUGUGGAUGACGUCAAGUCAUCAUGCCCCUUACAUCCUGGGCUACACACGUACUACAAUGCUACGGACAAAGGGCAGCAAGCUCGCGAGAGUUAGC